rnacentral:rRNA from 1 species
UACGGAGGGUGCAAGCGUUGUCCGGAUUUAUUGGGUUUAAAGGGUGCGUAGGCGGCCCGUUAAGUCAGUGGUGAAAGCCUCCAGCUCAACUGGAGAACUGCCAUUGAUACUGACGGGCUUGAGUACAGACGAGGUUGGCGGAAUUGAUUGUGUAGCGGUGAAAUGCAUAGAUACAAUCAAGAACUCCGAUUGCGAAGGCAGCUAACUAGGCUGUAACUGACGCUGAGGCACGAAAGCGUGGGGAGCGAACAGG